rnacentral:rRNA from 1 species
AUUGAACGCUGGCGGCAGGCCUAACACAUGCAAGUCGAGCGGAGCGGCGGACGGGCGAGUAAUUCCUAGGUAUCUGCCUGGCAGAGGGGGCUAACGUCCGGAAACGGGCGCUAAUACCGCAUACUAUCAGAUGAGCCUAGGUGGGAUUAGCUAGCGGGAGUGGCAAAGGCUUACCAAGGCGACGAUCCGUAGCUGGUCUGAGAGGAUGAUCAGUCAAACUGGAACUGAGACACGGUCCAGACUCCUACGGGAGGCAGCAGUGGGGAAUAUUGGACAAUGGGCGAAAGCCUGAUCCAGCCAUGCCGCGUGUGUGAAGAAGGUCUUCGGAUUGUAAAGCACUUUAAGUUGGGAGGCGUUACCAACAGAAUAAGCACCGGCUAACUUCGUGCCAGCAGCCGCGGUAAUUC